AACACGAUUACUGGUCCACCUAGAAAUGCCGUGGAGCGAUUUAAGAGCCUCGGAAAUUUCCUUUAAGGUCAGGAGAGAAGCUGGUAACAGAUGGGGCGAAGGAGGAAAAGUUCUUUUUGCGGCACCCUCACGCCUUCCCAGCCCUUUCGCGGUUUACUCGCUCCCCGGAAAGCAGGGCAUUCAAGCAGCCCUGAGGAGAGGUCCACAUGGUGAGCCACUGAGGGCCUUGCCAAGAGCCAGCACCAACGGUCCAGGUUUGGAGUGUACCACCUUGGAAGUGAAUCUUCCAGUCCAGUCAAGCCUUCAGAUGACUUCAGAACCGUCCAUGUAAGCCACUCUUGGAUUCCUGACCCACAGAAACUGUUGGAGACAGACAAACAUGUGCCUCCUGAUUGAAAAAACAGAACAUCACCUGUAGUCUUGCCAGUGAGAUCAAACUGAAGUCCAAUUAACCUCUGGAUCCAGCUGCCAAUUUGCAGGAAAUAGAGGAGAGAAGCAUCUGUUGAACUGCACCAUGAGUAUACACUCAGCAAAGGCCAAACUGUGGAAAAUGAUACAGGUCAAACAGCCUGGAUUCUUUAACAGUAAGUGAUGUUUCUGAAGCACCAAUGAAAAUGAAGUCCUGAAGUCCUGUGCUCAAUAUGAAAUGUUGGAAGUUAGAAGAAAAAAACAAAACUUGGAUCCAAUCUCAAGGCACUUUUUGUUUAAUGGGAAGAAGUGGAUUAUUUUAAAAGCUACAAAUAAAGUUACAUAAAAGUAGCAAA
rnacentral:lncRNA from 1 species